GUCAGCCGGUGAAUAGAGAAUACAGUAGGACGCUGCGUAGCCUCGUGAUGCAUACGACGGAGAGCCAACUCCGUUACCUCGACCGCUCUCCAUUUCGCCUGAAUUUAUAUAUUGCAUUACUGUCCACUUUGACCUUUAUGGCUCGGUAAAAAUAACUGGGAAUUAAGUAUUUUAUUCCCCUUAUGUUGGAUUGUACCUUAACGCACUAUUGUAUUUAAUCGACCGUCAUUUUAUUUUUUGUCAUCUGAAAGACGGUGAAGGAAGACUACAUGACACACAGGAGGGAGCAGUGAUUGGACCUGUCUGUUUUCUCCAUCCGGCGGAUGAGUCCCCAGCUCAGCCCACAGCAGUGAUUGGGCUAGGUGCCAGAUAGGGAGCUGUAGCAGGGGGUAAUCAUGGCGGACGUGGACCCAGACACCUUGCUGGAGUGGCUCCAGAUGGGCCAGGGAGAUGAGAGGGACAUGCAGCUGAUCGCCCUGGAGCAGCUCUGCAUGUUAUUGCUCAUGUCUGACAACGUGGACCGCUGCUUCGAGACGUGUCCCCCACGCACCUUCCUCCCCGCCCUGUGUAAGAUCUUCUUGGACGAAAGCGCCCCGGACAACGUGCUGGAGGUGACGGCCCGCGCCAUCACAUACUACCUGGACGUGUCGGCUGAGUGCACCCGCAGGAUCGUGGGCGUGGACGGGGCCAUCAAGGCUCUGUGUAACCGCCUGGUGGUGGUGGAGCUCAACAACAGGACCAGCAGAGACCUGGCUGAGCAGUGUGUCAAGGUGCUGGAGCUGAUCUGUACCAGGGAGUCUGGUGCAGUGUUUGAGGCUGGGGGUCUGAACUGUGUGCUUAGCUUCAUCCGGGACAGCGGUCAUCUGGUCCAUAAGGACACCCUGCACUCUGCCAUGUCUGUGGUGUCUCGCCUGUGCAGCAAGAUGGAGCCCCAGGACUCCUCUCUGGAGACCUGCGUGGAGUCCCUCUCCAGUCUGCUCAAACACGAAGACCACCAGGUGUCUGACGGUGCUCUGCGCUGCUUUGCCUCCCUGGCGGACCGGUUCACCCGUCGAGGGGUGGACCCCGCGCCACUGGCCAAGCACGGUCUGACAGAGGAGCUGCUGUCCCGGAUGGCGGCGGCAGGGGGCACGGUCUCCGGCCCCUCCUCCACCUGUAAGCCAGGCCGGACCUCCACUGGGGCCCAACCCACCGCCGCCGACUCCAAACUCUCCAACCAGGUGUCCACCAUCGUUAGCCUGCUGUCCACGCUGUGCAGAGGCUCUCCCCUUGUCACUCAUGAUCUGCUACGCUCUGCUCUGCCUGACUCCAUGGAGAGUGCCAUGCAGGGGGACGAGCGCUGUGUUCUGGACACCAUGCGUCUGGUGGACCUGCUGCUGGUGCUGCUGUUCGAGGGUCGCAAGGCUCUGCCCAAAUCCACCGCUGGCUCAACAGGGCGCAUCCCGGGCCUGCGACGGCUGGACAGCUCCGGGGAGCGUUCCCACCGACAGCUCAUCGACUGUAUCCGCAGCAAAGACACAGACGCUCUCAUUGAUGCCAUCGACACCGGAGCUUUUGAAGUGAAUUUCAUGGAUGACGUCGGGCAGACUCUUUUGAAUUGGGCCUCUGCGUUUGGCACACAGGAAAUGGUUGAGUUCCUGUGUGAGAGAGGUGCUGAUGUCAACAGAGGUCAGAGGUCCUCCUCCCUCCACUACGCUGCCUGUUUUGGACGGCCUCAAGUAGCAAAGACUCUACUGCGACAUGGAGCCAACCCUGACCUCCGAGAUGAAGAUGGGAAAACUCCCCUGGACAAAGCAAGGGAGCGUGGCCACAGUGAGGUGGUAGCCAUUCUCCAGUCUCCUGGAGACUGGAUGUGCCCUGUUAACAAAGGAGAGGACAAGAAGAAGAAAGACUUGAACGAGGAGGAGGAGGGCAGCGAACCCAAAGGAGACCCUGAGAUGGCCCCCAUCUACCUGAAGAGGCUGCUACCAGUAUUUGCACAAACCUUUCAGCAAACCAUGCUACCUUCUAUUAGAAAAGCUAGCCUGGCUCUGAUCAGGAAGAUGAUUCACUACAGCUGUGAAGUGCUGCUGAAGGAGGUGUGUGACUCUGACGCCGGUAACAACUUGCCAACUGUGCUAGUGGAGAUCACCGCCACCGUACUGGAUCAGGAGGACGAUGAUGACGGUCACCUGCUGGCACUCCAGAUCAUCAGAGACCUGGUGGACAAAGGAGGAGAUGUCUUCCUGGACCAGUUGGCUAGACUGGGCGUCAUCAACAAGGUGUCCACUCUGGCUGGACCCACCUCAGACGAUGAGAACGAGGAGGUGUCCAAACCAGAGAAGGAGGAUGAGCCACAGGAGGAUGCCAAAGAGGUGCAGCAGGGGAAGCCCUACCACUGGCGUGACUGGUCCAUUAUCAGGGGGAGGGACUGCCUGUACAUCUGGAGUGAUGCUGCAGCCCUGGAGCUCUCCAACGGCUCCAACGGAUGGUUCCGCUUCAUCCUGGACGGCAAGCUGGCCACCAUGUACUCCAGCGGCAGCCCCGAGGGAGGCUCCGACAGCUCAGAAAGUCGUAGUGAGUUUUUGGAGAAGCUGCAGCGUGCCCGGAGCCAGGUGAAACCUGUGACAGCCAGCCAGCCCAUUCUGUCUGCCCUGGGUCCCACCAAGCUGACGGUGGGGAACUGGUCCCUGACCUGCCUGAAGGAGGGAGAGAUCGCCAUCCACAACUCUGACGGACAGCAGGCCACCAUCCUCAAGGAGGACCUGCCCGGCUUCGUGUUUGAGUCCAACAGGGGCACCAAGCACUCCUUCACCGCUGAAACAUCACUAGGGUCCGAAUUUGUGACUGGCUGGACUGGAAAGAGGGGAAGAAAGCUCAAAUCCAAAUUGGAGAAAACAAAACAAAAGGUGAAGACCAUGGCCAGAGACCUGUAUGAUGACCACUUCAAGGCGGUAGAGAGCAUGCCCAGAGGGGUGGUGGUCACCCUGAGGAACAUCGCUACCCAGCUGGAGUCUGCUUGGGAGCUGCAUACCAACAGACAGUGUAUCGAGGGAGAGAACACAUGGAGAGACUUGAUGAAAACAGCUCUGGAAAACUUGAUUGUGGUUCUCAAGGAUGAGAACACCAUCUCCCCCUAUGAAAUGUGCAGCAGUGGCCUAGUGCAAGCACUUUUUACAGUCCUUAAUAAUAGUGUGGAACUUGACAUGAAACAUGAUUGUAAACCAUUAAUGGAAAGAAUAAAUGUAUUUAAAACCGCAUUCAGUGAAAACGAAGAUGAUGAAAGCCGACCCGCAGUUGCCUUAAUCCGCAAACUACUAGCAGUCCUGGAGUCCAUUGAGAGGUUACCUCUGCACCUGUAUGACACCCCAGGCUCCACCUAUAACCUGCAGAUCCUGACGAGGAGGUUGCGUUUCCGUCUGGAGCGCGCGCCUGGGGAAACGGCGCUGAUCGACCGUACCGGACGUAUGCUGAAGAUGGAGCCCCUGGCCACCGUGGAGUCUCUGGAGCAGUACCUCCUCAAGAUGGUUGCCAAGCAGUGGUAUGAUUUUGAUAGAUCCUCCUUCAUCUUCGUCAAGAAGCUAAGAGAGGGACAGACCUUCACAUUCAGACACCAGCAUGACUUUGACGAGAACGGAAUAGUCUACUGGAUUGGUACCAAUGCAAAGACUGCCUAUGAGUGGGUGAACCCAGCAGCCUACGGCCUGGUGGUAGUGACCUCCUCUGAGGGUCGUAACCUCCCAUAUGGACGACUGGAGGACAUCCUGAGUCGAGACAGCUCUGCCCUCAACUGCCACACCAACGAUGAUAAGAACGCCUGGUUCGCCAUCGACUUGGGCCUGUGGGUCAUCCCCUCUGCCUACACCCUGCGCCACGCACGUGGCUACGGCCGCUCCGCCCUCAGGAACUGGGUGUUCCAGGUGUCCAAAGACGGCCAAACCUGGAUGAGUCUCUACAACCACGUGGAGGACUGCAGUCUCAACGAGCCGGGGUCCACAGCCACUUGGCCUCUGGACCCAUCCAAAGAUGAGAAACAGGGCUGGAGACACAUCCGCAUCAAGCAGAUGGGGAAGAAUGCCAGCGGGCAGACCCACUACCUGUCUCUGUCAGGCCUGGAGAUCUAUGGCACCGUCAGUGGUGUGUGUGAGGACCAGCUAGGUAAAGCAGUGAAGGAAGCGGAGGCCAACCUGCGCAGGCAGAGGCGUCUAUUCCGCUCCCAGGUGAUGAAGUACAUAGUGCCCGGUGCGCGCGUGGUGCGGGGCAUCGACUGGAAGUGGAGAGACCAGGAUGGCAACCCAGCAGGAGAGGGUACGGUGACGGGGGAGGCCCAUAACGGCUGGAUUGAUGUCACCUGGGAUGCUGGUGGCUCAAACUCUUAUCGUAUGGGUGCUGAAGGAAAAUUUGACCUCAAGCUUGCGCCAGGGUACGACCCUGAGUCUGCGCCGUCACCCAAACCUGUCUCAUCCACUGUUUCAGGCACAGCGCAGUCCUGGAGCAGCCUGGUGAAAAAUAACUGUCCGGACAAGGGCGGCUCCUCCUCGGCUGCAGGGGCCAGCUCCUCCAGCCGGAAGGGCAGUAGCAGCUCGGUGUGUAGCGUGGCCAGCAGCAGUGAUAUCAGUCUCAGCUCCACCAAGGUAGAGCGUCGGGCCGAUAGCCUGCUGGAGCAGGGGGGGUUACUAGGGACUGGUGGUGGCAUCCCUGGGGUAGAGGGCCAAGAACCCAUUGUGGUGCUGUCCGAGGCCGGAUCCGCCUCCAGCACCAGCACGAUAACCGCGGAGGAGGGAGGCGAGCGGAAAGCGGGCGCGGACAGGCAAGCGGCGGCAGAUGCCACGGCCAUCUCCAUGGGACUAGUCAGCGUCAGCUCGCCUGACGUCAGCUCCGUGUCUGAGUCCUCCAGUAAGGAGGCUGCUUCCCAGAGGCCUUUAUGUUCCGUGGCCAGUGCCCGUCUGUCCGUUAGCUCUCUGCUGGCGGCCGGCGCUCCCAUGAGCUCCAGCGCCAGCGUGCCUAACCUGUCAUCGCGAGAGGCCAGCCUCAUGGAGUCAUUUGUGCGGCGAGCUCCUAACAUGUCCCGCACCAAUGCCACCAACAACAUGAACCUGAGCCGCAGCAGCAGCGACAACAACACCAACACACUGGGACGAAACGUCAUGAGCGCUGCCACUUCUCCUCUCAUGGGUGCACAGAGCUUUCCUAACCUCACCACCACUGGUACCACCUCAACUGUUACAAUGUCCACAUCCAUAGUAACCAGCAGCAAUAAUGUAGCCACGGCAACCACAGGUUUGUCGGUUGGCCAGUUGCUCAGUAACACUCUGACGACCAGCCUGACCUCUACGUCUAGUGAGAGUGACACUGGUCAGGAUGCUGAGUUUUCCCUUUAUGACUUCCUGGACAGCUGUCGUGCUAACACGCUAUUGGCUGAGUUAGAUGAUGAGGAGGAUCUGCCUGAGCCUGAUGAUGAUGAUGAUGAGAACGAGGAUGACAAUCAGGAAGACCAAGAGUAUGAGGAAGUUUUGGUACGGUCCAGGGUAAACCUUGGUUUCCACAUUCAUUUUAAUAGGGAAGAGGAAGAGUAUGAAACCAAAGGGGGUCGGCGUAGAACCUGGGACGAUGACUUUGUCCUCAAAAGGCAGUUCUCUGCUUUAGUCCCGGCGUUUGACCCCAGGCCAGGCCGGACUAAUGUCCAGCAGACCACUGACCUGGAGAUCCCUCCCCCAGGUACACCUCGCUCUGAAGUCCAGGAAGAGGUUGAGUGUGCCCCCUCCCCCCACCUCGCCCUCAUCCUCAAAGUGGCAGGGCUUGGAACCACCCGAGAAGUUGAACUACCCCUCUCCAACUACAAGGGUACUAUCUUUUACUAUGUCCAGAAGCUUCUACAGGUCUCCUGCAACGGGAGCAUCAAAUCAGAUAAACUACGCCGGAUCUGGGAACCCACAUACACGAUAAUGUACAGAGAAUUGAAGGAUUCGGACAAAGAGAAGGAAAGCAGAAAAAUGGACUUUUGUGAGCAUGGGUGCAGGUCGGGGGGCCUGAGCCCUGGGUCUCUGGGUGCCAUGCAGACGUGUGACAUCCUGAGUGUGGCUAGUGAGCAGGCCCAGGCCAAGGCUGGCUCCAGCCAGAGCGCCUGCGGUGUGGAGGAUGUGCUCCAGCUGCUCCGCAUCCUCUUCAUCAUCGGAGGAGACCCCCAGGGCCACACACGCACCUUCCAGGAAGAGGACCUCCAAUUCAAUGCAUCGCCCGAGGAAUUCACCAGCAAGAAAGUCACAACGAAGAUUCUCCAGCAGAUUGAGGAGCCUCUGGCCCUGGCCAGCGGGGCCCUCCCAGAAUGGUGUGAGCAGCUUACCAGCAAGUGUCCUUUCCUCAUCCCGUUCGAGACCCGGCAGCUCUACUUCACCUGCACUGCGUUUGGAGCCUCCAGGGCGGUAGUGUGGCUGCAGAACCGGCGGGAGGCGACCAUGGAGCGCUCGCGGCCCUCCACCACGGUGCGGAGAGACGACCCUGGGGAGUUCAGGGUGGGCCGGCUCAAACAUGAGAGAGUCAAGGUCCCCCGCGGAGACCAGAUGAUGGAGUGGGCUGAGCGCGUCAUGCAGAUCCACGCUGACAGGAAAUCUGUUUUGGAAGUAAAACACCACGCCUGAUUUAAACCAGAUUAAUUGUACUCCUGGACUAACAUGCAUGCUCAUUGGAGAGUCUGUGUGAAGGGAUUAUUGAUUAUCAUUGGUACCCAUGAAUAAGUGGUCCAUGUCAUGCUCAAUGGUGUGAAAUAUGUACUCAUUCAUCCAAUUCAUAGGCAUACAUUUUGUAAUCUUACUGUACACCUGUUUUUUCCAACUUGGUAAUGUCUUCCCCUAUUUCUUUGAAUGGCAUGGCCACGAGAGGUCAUAGUGACUGGUUAUGAGAAGUCAUAGUGACUGGUUAUGAGAAGUCAUAGUGACUGGUUAUGAGAAGUCAUAGUGACUGGUUAUGAGAAGUCAUAGUGACUGGUUAUGAGAAGUCAUAGUGACUGGUUAUGAGAGGUCGUAGCGAAUGACCAGUUUCUCUCUUCCCAGGUUGAAUUCCAGGGGGAGGAGGGUACAGGCCUGGGUCCCACACUGGAGUUCUAUGCUCUGGUGGCAGCUGAGUUCCAGAGGGCAUCUCUGGGUAUAUGGCUCUGUGAUGAUGACUUCCCAGAUGAUGAGUCUCGCCAGGUAGAUCUGGGUGGGGGUCUGAAACCUCCAGGCUACUAUGUCCAGCGCUCCUGCGGCCUGUUCCCAGCCCCAUUCCCCCAGGACAGUGACGAGCUGGAGCGCCUCAGCAAACUCUUCCUCUUCUUGGGGGUCUUCCUGGCCAAGUGCAUUCAGGACAACCGCCUGGUGGACCUUCCCAUCUCACGACCCUUCUUCAAGUUGCUCUGUAUGGGUGACAUCAAGAGCAACAUGUCCAAGCUGCUGUACGCCUCCCGUGGGGGCCCUCUCCUCCUCGAUCCCACCGAGCAGCACCACCACUUCUCAGAGAUCCAGUCAGAGGCGUCUACCGAGGAGAGCCUGGACACCUAUUCUGUCGGCAGCUUUGACGAGGACUCCAAGUCCGAGUUCAUCCUGGACCCCCCUAAACCCAAGCCCCCGGCCUGGUACCACGGCAUCCUGACCUGGGAGGACUUUGAGCGGGUCAACUCCCACCGGGCCAAGUUCCUGAAAGAGAUGAAGGAGCUGGCGGUGAAGAGGAGGCUGAUCUUGGGGAACAACAGUCAGUCUGAGGAUGAAAAGAACACUAGGCUGCAGGACCUCAUGCUGAAGAACCCCUUGGGCUCCGGACCCCCACUUAGUGUAGAGGACCUGGGAUUGAAUUUCCAGUUUUGCCCCUCAUCCAAAGUGCAUGGGUUCUCAGCAGUGGAUCUGAAGCCCAAUGCGGAUGACGAGAUGGUGACCAUGGAUAAUGCUGAGGAGUACGUGGAGCUCAUGUUUGACUUCUGCAUGCACACUGGCAUCCAGAAACAAAUGGAGGCAUUCAGAGAGGGCUUUAACCGAGUGUUCCCCAUGGAGAAGCUGAGCUCCUUCAGUCACAAGGAGGUGCAGAUGAUUCUGUGUGGAAACCAGUCUCCAUCCUGGACAUCUGAGGAUGUCAUGAACUACACAGAGCCCAAGCUGGGCUACACUAGGGACAGUCCUGGGUUCCUGCGUUUUGUGCGGGUGCUUUGUGGAAUGUCGUCUGACGAGAGGAAAGCCUUCCUCCAGUUCACCACAGGAUGCUCCACUCUGCCCCCUGGUGGUCUGGCAAACCUGCACCCACGCCUCACCAUCGUUCGAAAGGUGGAUGCGGCAGACUCCAGCUAUCCCUCUGUUAACACUUGUGUACACUAUCUGAAGCUGCCAGAGUAUUCCUCUGAAGACAUCAUGAGAGAGCGUCUCCUAGCUGCCACCAUGGAGAAGGGCUUCCACCUCAACUGAGCAUGCCCUGUCUGCCCCAUUCUGACUGACAAACCCCCCUUGCUGGAAAACAGUCCCAUGUUGGCUCAACUAGCUACUGAUACAGAUAAGGUCCGGGGCACCCCCACCUUCCUUCGCUCCACCCACUACAGCUCCCUCCCUCCCCAGGGCACACUGCUGCUUGAAGGACUUGAGCGACUAGAAGACAGUUUCCUCAUGGUCUACAGUGUUUACUCUCUCUCAUACUCUGGCUGUGAGCAUCUGUACAUUCUCUGUAGAUUUUAGGGUUUUUAGAUUGCCACCAUCUCUCCACCACCCGGCUGUCAACCCCCUUCCUUUCCCUGCGUGACCUGAGGGAAAAAGGGCAUCUGCUUCUGUAGCGCUAACUGUAGUGUGUUUGGGCAUUUCCUUACCAGGUUAAGUUUUACUAGUGCCUGCAUUGUUUGAAUAUUAGGAUUACAUUUUUCCCUCCUUCUACUUAAUCUUACGGCAUACAAUCAUGAUGCACAUGCUUAUUAUUUUUGCUCUUCAUUUUUCUUUCGUUAUGUAUGUUUUGAUUGUUUGUUAUCCUGCUAUAAGGAUCAAAGUCCCUGAGUGCAUUUCUUGUGUAAUUUUACAAUAAAGCUAUAGAGACAAAAACACUGGUUCUGUGUGCAAGGCACAUUUAAAAAGAAAAAAGCAAGCUAUGCUUUCCCUUGUAUUUUCUUUGUAUAUUAUAAACAUUUAUUUAACUCCAGUUGCAAUUUGAAGUAAACAGAUAUUUUCAAAUGUGUAUGCUCCAAAAAAUUAAAAUGUUUGCAAAGUA